rnacentral:rRNA from 1 species
UACAGAGGGUGCAAGCGUUGCUCGGAAUCAUUGGGCGUAAAGGGCAGGUAGGUGGUCUCAUUUGUCUGGGGUGAAAGCCCAGGGCUUAACCCUGGAAGUGCCCCGGAAACGGUGAGACUGGAGUCUUGGAGAGGGUCGUGGAAUUCCCGGUGUAGCGGUGAAAUGCGUAGAGAUCGGGAGGAACACCAGAGGCGAAGGCGGCGACCUGGACAAGUACUGACACUCAACUGCGAAAGCGUGGGGAGCAAACAGG